GGGAGAUCUUGCCUGGAGGUGGUGGAAAUGCGAGUGGAGAGGGUUCAAGGCUUCCUGCAGAGAAAGCGUCUUUGCAGGUUAAGUUAAGGAUUUUGAGAUGAAGAUUAUCCUGGAUUCGAAAGACGAACACUAAAUGGAAUCACAGUAUCCUCAUCAAAUCAUAAAAGGGAGGUUGAGAGAGACGAUUUAGCCACGGUGGCAGAGAUUGGAGUAUGGCAGCCACAACCCAAGGAUGCCAGCAGCCACCAGAAACAAAGAGACAAGCACACACUGGGGGUGAGGGGGUGGAGGAGCGGGGAGCAUCAAGAAUAGCUAAUAGAUGCUGGGCUUAAUACUUAGGUGAUGGGAUGAUCUGGGCAGCAAACCACCAUGGCAUACAUUUACCUAUGUAACAAACCUUCACAUCCUGCACAUGUAUCCCUGAAAUAAACAGAGACAAGGACAGAUUCACGCCCAGCCCAUGGGGCAGCCCUAUAAUGCAUGCUGAUUUGGGCCCAGUGAAACUGAUUUUGGGUUUCUGGCCUCCAGAACUGUGAGAGCAUAAAUUUAUGGUUUAAGUCAGCAAGUUCGUGGUAAUUUGUUUCAGCAGCCAAGGGAAACUAAUACAUCAAGAUAGGUACCAUUAUCCCUGUUUUACAGGUAAUGAAACUAAGGCACAAACUGGCAGUUCCAGGGGGAGCCUUGCCCUAAUCCUUUCUACUGUACAGUGAGUGAGGGCUUCUUCCAAAGUCCUUCACAUGAGGGGAGAAAAGCUGAGCCAGAUGUAAGCCACCCUAACUAUUAAUCAAGCAGUUUUUCACUAUACAGUAUUAGCUCCCCUCCAUGGGAAGGCAGUCCCUUCCCAGUGACCAACAUAACAGAUUGGCAACACCCCAUAAAUGGCAAACAUCCCCAAUGCAAAAUACAGCUUUCCACCUAAAAUUGGUGCUUUCUGCUCAAUUAAUAAGCAAAGGACUAGUGCCAGGCAUGAUGGCUCACACUUGUAAUACCAACACUUUGGGAGGCUGAAGUGGGCAGAUCACUUGAGGUCAAGAGUUGGAAACCAGCCUGGCCAACAUGAUAAAACCCCAUCUCUACUAAAAUUACAAAAAUUAGCUGGGUGUGGUGGUGGGCACUUGUAAUCCCAGCUACUGGGGAGGCUGAGGACUGAGAAUCACUUUAACCCAGGAGGCAGAGGUUGCAGUGAGCCAAGAUCACGCCACUGCACUCCAGCCUGGGUGACAGAGCAAGACUCUGUCUUAAAAGCAAUAACAACAACAACAACAAAAUAGUAAUAAUAAAUAACCAAAGGACUUC
rnacentral:lncRNA from 1 species